rnacentral:rRNA from 1 species
ACUCCUACGGGAGGCAGCAGUGGGGAAUCUUGCGCAAUGGACGAAAGUCUGACGCAGCCACGCCGCGUGAGUGAAGAAGGCCUUCGGGUUGUAAAGCUCUGUCGGAAGGGACGAAAACUCUUAGAGUGAACAGCUCUAGGAAUUGACGGUACCUUUAGAGGAAGCACCGGCUAACUCUGUGCCAGCAGCCGCGGUAAU